rnacentral:rRNA from 1 species
AGAGUUUGAUCCUGGCUCAGGAUGAACGCUAGCGGCAGGCCUAACACAUGCAUGUCGAGGGGUAAUUUCGAUCUUCGGAUCGGAAAACGACCGGCAAAUGGGUGAGUAAUACAUAUGCAACCUGCCCGUAGCUGGAGAAUAGCUUCCGGAAACGGAAAUUAAUACUCCAUAAUAUUCUAGUAUCGCAUGUUAUUAGAAUUAAAGCUUCGGUGGCUACGGAUGGGCAUAUGUCCCAUUAGCUUGUUGGUGAGGUAACUGCUCACCAAGGCUACGAUGGGUAGGGGGUCUGAGAGGAUGAUCCCCCACACUGGUACUGAGACACGGACCAGACUCCUACGGGAGGCAGCAGUGAGGAAUAUUGGUCAAUGGGCGAAAGCCUGAACCAGCCAUGCCGCGUGCAGGAUGACAGUCCUACGGAUUGUAAACUGCUUUUCUGCAAGAAGAAAUGUUCCGACGUGUCGGGAUUUGACGGUAUUGCAGGAAUAAGCAUCGGCUAACUCCGUGCCAGCAGCCGCGGUAAUACGGAGGAUGCAAGCGUUAUCCGGAUUCAUUGGGUUUAAAGGGUGCGUAGGCGGAUUAGAUAGUCAAAAGGUGAAAGCCUGCAGCUUAACUGUAGAAGUGCCUUUGAUACUGCUAAUCUGAGU